CCUCCGCCAUCUUGGGGGCGGCCGCCCGUGAGGGAAGGAGGUGACUGAGGUGGUUUUUCCUCUUUCUCCCCUCCGGAACUGUUGGUUUUCAGUUUCUCGCAGGUCUGUGUCGCUCCUCCCGUGUUUUUGGCUGAGGGGCGGCUGCGGGAUGGCGUUUCCCCGGCUGCUGGUGCGGGCGCUGCACCGGGCGGGCGCUGCCGCCGCGGCUCCAGACUUCAACAGUUUCGUCACUCGGACCAACACGUGUGGAGAGCUGCGUUCUGCUCAUGUGGGACAGAAGGUGACCCUGUAUGGAUGGGUUCAAUAUCAAAGACAAGGCCUGUUUCUCGUUUUGAGGGAUUUCCAGGGACUGACCCAGGUCAUCAUUCCUCAGGAUGAGGCACAUUCCCACGUGAAGGAGCUCCUGUCCAACGCCCCGGUGGAGUCUGUGGUGAGAGUGACAGGGACAGUGUCCCCUCGGCCCCUGGGGCAGGAGAAUCCGAAAAUGCCAACAGGGGAUAUUGAAGUGAAGGCAGAGACUGCAGAGAUCCUAAACUCCUGCAAGAAGCUGCCUUUUGAAAUCAAGGAUUUUAUCAAGAAGUCAGAGGCCCUGCGGAUGCAGUAUCGGUACCUGGACCUGCGCAGCUCCCGGCUGCAGUCCAACCUGCGCCUGAGGUCUCGCGUGGUGAUGAGGAUGCGCGAGUAUCUCUGCAACCUCCACGGGUUCGUGGAUGUAGAAACUCCAACUCUGUUUAAAAGAACCCCAGGGGGAGCCAGAGAAUUCCUUGUGCCCUCGAGGGAAGCGGGCAAGUUCUACUCUCUGCCACAGAGCCCUCAGCAGUUCAAGCAGCUCCUCAUGGUUGGAGGACUGGACAGGUACUUCCAAGUCGCUCGCUGCUACCGGGAUGAGGGUUCACGGCCUGACAGGCAGCCUGAAUUCACCCAGAUAGACAUAGAGAUGUCGUUUGUAGAUCAAGCUGGGAUCCAGAGGCUCAUAGAGGGCCUCCUGCAAUAUUCCUGGCCUGAGGAAAGAGGCUCCAUUAUGACUCCUUUCCCUUCCAUGACUUAUGAGGAGGCACUGGCUGAGUAUGGGACUGAUAAACCUGACACUCGCUUUGGGAUGAAGAUCAUGGAUAUCAGUGAUGUUUUACGAGGAUCAAACAUUCAUUUUGUGCAGAGUGCCCUCAGUUACCCACAUGGCUCCAUCAGAGCCAUUUGUAUCCCUCAGGGAGUGAGGUAUCUUACAAAUAAAGACUUGGAGUCGUUGAAGGAGUCUGCAAAAUCCCAGUUUAACCAGGAAAUCAUGGAAAUCAUCCGGAGACCUGAUGGAAGCUUGAAGUCUCUGCUUACCAAGUUCCUUGGUGAGAAGGAGAGGUCAGAGCUUAUCCAAGCACUGGACAUGCAAGAGGAUGAUGUGGUGCUGCUGGCAGCUGGAGAACACAAGCAAGUGUGCUCUGCUUUAGGAGCCCUGCGGUUGUUGAGUGCCGACCUCCUGGAGGCAGCUGGGCUGGCACUCCGUGAUCCCACAGCCUUUCACUUCCUCUGGGUGGUGGAUUUCCCCCUUUUCCUUCCCAAGGCCGAGAAUCCCACUGAACUGGAAUCUGCUCAUCACCCCUUCACUGCCCCUCACCCUUCAGAUGCCAGCCUCCUGUAUUCUGAUCCUACAAAGGUUGUUUUUAGGUGCAGCCGUGGCCCAGCCUCAGCAAGGUGCCUGUCCCUGUCUCUCUGCAGGUCCGUAGCCAGCACUACGACCUUGUGCUGAAUGGCAAUGAGGUUGGAGGUGGCUCCAUCAGAAUUCACAGUGCAGAGCAGCAGCGUUUUGUGCUGGAGAAAGUGCUGAAGGAGGAUUCCGAGGUGCUUUCCCAUCUGAUUGAGGCUUUGGAAUUUGGAGCACCACCUCAUGGAGGAAUUGCUUUAGGACUUGACAGGCUGAUCUCUCUCAUUGUUGACGCUCCAAGUAUCCGGGACGUCAUUGCCUUUCCAAAAUCCUUCAGGGGACGAGACCUGAUGGGCAAUGCUCCAGACUAUGUCACUCCAGAAGAACUAGAGCCAUAUCACAUUCAGGUUUCCUGGCCUCUUGAAGAAAAAGAGGCAAAGAAAAACUGACUUCACGCCAGUGAUGUAAGCUGAUCUGAUCAACCAGAGGUGGUUACAGCUUCUAAAGGCUGGGAUUCGGUUCAGAAAAUAUCAGCUGUUGUGGCAGGGUGGGGGACAGUCCAACUCCACUGUAUUGUGGCAGUUUCAGGAUGGAGUGGGAAGUAGAUAAGGGGUCUUCCUGAUGGGAAUUCACCUUUGGGAAGGACAUGCAAAAAAGCAAUAGAAAAGAACAUAAUUUUAGCACAGCAUUUUGAGACUGUUUGCUUUAGGGUGUCACAUUUGGAGGGAAGACAGGAUCUGGUUUUUCCCAACCCUCAAUUUUUACAUGUCCCUUGUAAAGUAUUCCUCCUCCCAUCUGGAGGAGAUAGCCAUCUUCCCUGGCAGGAAUUAAAUCAUGAUCCUCAUUAAAUCAUGUCAGCUGAGCACUGUGACAAUAAAAAUGUGCUGGACUAGGAGCUCUGGACACUGCACAGCCAAACUUCAGUGCAGCCAGCAAUUUGUCUCCUGUUGGAGGAUACCAGAUCAUGCAGAACUUUGCCACUGGGAGGUCAUGCUCAGCUGUGUUUUCCCUUCAGAGGAGAGGGAGAGAAGCAUCGAUGAUGUUUGCAACAGUUAUCCUUGUAAUACUCGUCAAAGAGGUGUUGAUCUGUCUUUGGGGCCUGUGGUCCUGGUGCUUUCAGCACAAUCAUUCAGGAGUUUGUAUGUUUAUAAAUAAAGUUUACCUGGCAAUGUG